AGGAGCCUGGAGAAGCAAAGUGGUUUAGCCACUGCUGCUGGCUCUGUUGUUCUUUGAUCCAGUAUUAGCUGUCCUGAGAAAAGCUGCUUUUUUGACUACAAGUUUAGGAAAUACAAAGGUUUAUUUGUGCUUUUUUGUUCAAUUGUUUUGCAUUAAUUCCCAACCUAAUUCGAACCCAGAGAAUAAAGCUUUUACACUUAAGCACUAACUGCCCCUCUGAAAGGAUGAAACGGAUACACAGCACUGUUAAAUCCAGAAUAAGAAACAGGUUUGUGUUUUGACUAAGGACAGCAUUUACCAUGUGAUUAAACUAGUAACUAGUAGUAAUCAAGGUAAUCUGAAGUCAUCUUAAGUGCGAGUGGCAAACAGAAGCAUAAAAAUGGAAGCAAACCAGUGAAAAUCACAUUUGAAAUCUGACAAACUUGGAAACAUAAAAAUUCACUUGCUGUCAACUGCAGUCUGAUGUGCAACAUUUAUUGAAGUGCUGAAAGUGCCUUCAGUGCUUGACAAAAUACAGGUAGUCCCCAUAGAGUGUACAGUCUAAACCAGCUGCAGAAUUCACAGGCUUCAAGUGGCAGAAGAGGAAAAGACCACUGAGGGAGCUUGCCACAAAGAAAUUUAGGAGAGAUUUGAAGAGCUGAAAGGUACUCGGUAGAGCAAGAACACCUUUUAGAAGACUUCUCUUGAAAUACUGGCUAUUGCUGGAAGCAGGAGAUUGGACUUGUCAACCUGCACCCUGCCCCAGUCUGUCAGCUUGGUGUUCAUAAGUAUUGGAUGGGCACAUAGAAAGAUCUCAGUCACCCUAUAGAGAAUAUUCAUCUAAAGCUGGAAGGAAAUUUGGCCCUGUAAUUCUUAAAA